GAGCAGGGGUGUCAAACGUACGGCCCGAGGGCCGGAUCAGGCCCGCGAACAGGUUUUAUCCAACCCGCGGGAUGAUUUUGCGUCUCCUCCUGCUGAGCGCACCGCGGGAUACGCCCACGGGCGUUCCCCUACGGCUGCAGUCGCGCCUCCGCGUGGCUGCAUAGAAUCAACAAUCAACACACCUGCCCGUGAUGAGAGACCUGCCUUCUUAAGCCAGCGCAUCCUGAGAUCCAGUGCCAGAACUGUUGUCAUCCAGCUUACCAUCUUCCUUCCCCGUUGUCGAGCUGUGUGUCUCGUCUUCCCGGAUCCCCUCUGGACUCUCUGCUGCCUCUCUGGAUUUCCACCUCACGCCUGCCCUUUAACCACGAAGCCUCGCUCCAGCCCUUGACCUUCCUCCUGUCUUUGGACUUCCAAGCCUGCCUUUCCCUCUUUGGACUUCCGCCUCGAUUCCAACAUGCACCUUCAACACCCUCUGGUAACAACUCACAUAUACUUACCACAUAGUCACACUACAUUAAUUUUGAGUACGCACACACCUCACCUACAUU